rnacentral:rRNA from 1 species
UACGUAGGGUGCAAGCGUUGUCCGGAAUUAUUGGGCGUAAAGAGCUCGUAGGCGGCUUGUCGCGUCGGAUGUGAAAGCCCGGGGCUUAACUCCGGGUCUGCAUUCGAUACGGGCAGGCUAGAGUUCGGUAGGGGAGAUCGGAAUUCCUGGUGUAGCGGUGAAAUGCGCAGAUAUCAGGAGGAACACCGGUGGCGAAGGCGGAUCUCUGGGCCGAUACUGACGUGAGGAGCGAAAGCGUGGGGAGCGAACAGG